ACAUUUGUGUUUAGAACUUUAAAAGACUGGACACUGCUUCAGACUUGCCUGGCCGCUUCUGCCCUUCUCCUAUGAGUCUCCACCAGAAAGUGCCUUAUUCUUGUUGUAAGCCCUCAGGCCUCAGCGGUCCUGCUCUGGGCCAACUCUAUUUGGCUGGAUAUUUACAUGCAAUGGAAUGGCUCUAACAGCAGAAAAGCUGGGAACAGGUGAAGAAGCUGUGAUUGCUUCUCAGCCUUGGACUUGUGCCAGAGACUUGGGGGACAUGGAAGGAGACACUGGGAACAGAUGUGGGUGAGACACCUAUGGGGAGAUUACAGUGGCAACAUUUAUCUUGAUUUUGAUUUUGCUCUUUUCCUUCCAGAC